GUUUGUGUUCAACUUCCUAGGGAAGAAUAGAGGACAGAUGGUAGAAAUUUCCCAAGGGAGAGAAGAGAAUUACUACAGAAGAUCAGGAUCAGACCUGAACAGGUGAUCAUGAAAUCGAAAUGCCUGAAAACUCAAUUUCUCAAGGUCGAUAUAACCCAUACCUAGGUAACAAGCUUUCCAGAAUUCUGAAGCAAGUGGGACAAAAUGAGAAAACAAGGAGGCGCUGGAAGAUUGAAAUCUCCAUGUUGCCUGGGAACUUUGGCUCAAAACUUAGGAAAGUAAGGACAGGAGUUAUUCCUCCCUCUCCAUGGCUGUUGAGUUUAUCCAACUUGGUUGAUAAUCUGUCAACUUCAAGGGUGGAGGCCCUGUUCACUUCAGACGUGACCAUCAGACUCCAGCUGUACAGAGGAAUGCAGUAGAUGCCAAGGAGAUUUGCCAAGAGAGACAUGAGUUCUAGGAUGUACUCAAAAAGUGCUUCACCUCCCGUUUUGUUGGUAAUGACUGUUUGUCUUGUGUCAAAUCUUUGUAUCCAGUCAUAACUGAAGAGAUGAUGAGUUCGGCAGAAUCAUUUUGCUGGAUCCUGUUGGACUGCUCUGAAGGAAU